GUCGCGUGCGAGCGGAGAUUCCCGCGGGCGUACUUACUGCUGGUACACGAGAGAACUCACACGCCUCACCCGUCCUGUCUGCGGCAGGACCUUCAGGCGCUCUGAGCACCUCAGGAUGCACAGAGAGACACACGGCGGAAGCAAGAGGACUACCUAAGCAAAAAGCGACGUGCCUACGUGCCUCCCCGCCGCCCACAGAACCGCCCAGGCGAAGCCCCAGCCACCCAUAAUCCGCCUCUCUCCCCCAGACAGCAGGGAUACAUACCCGCCUUAGAUAAAGCUCGUCUUCCCGCCGCCUAACUCGGCCAUAGAGAAUUUCCAUAAUCUACUCACGUCCCGACCGCCUCAACCCCACUCAACCUCGCCGCCAACACUCGCUAAACUUCCCGGAGCCGGAGGGCCGCUCCCUCGCGCUGGCUCCUCGAGGCUCGCUGUGUCAACGACGUAAUGCGAUUUAUUACGUCGAGGGAACUCACUUAUCUUCGUCGCGUGUAACUCAUGACGCAAGUAUGCAUGAGUUAUGGGAAAUGCCCGCUGCGAUGCCGUCAUGUGUAACGUGUGUCUAUCCCAACCUCUUUUAAGAAUCUAUGUUUCAAUUUGUGUUUAUACGAUUGCAUAGAAGUCCGAAUAAGGAAGUGUUUGUCGUCUCGAAAUCUUCAGCGCCCCCUGCGACUGACCGCUUAACCGCGCCCAUUUCCCUUUUUUACUCCCCCACCCCUACCCUCUCACCCCCAAACGGCCCCUUCCCUUCACAACCCCUUCCUCCCUUCCUCUUACAGUCCCUUCUCCCCCUCCUCCUUCCCUCUGCCUCCUCUCCUCCUUUCCCUUUCCCUUCCCCUUCCUUCCCCCCUCCCCUCUCAACCCCUUUCUCCCUUCCACUUACAAAAAUAUCAGUCUCGCCCUCUGCCCGCGCCCCUCCACCUUCAACGGAACUACUCGCUGGCGCCCCUACUCGCAUACCGCCAGCCCCGCCCACACCUCGAGACCCCGCCCAUCACGGUCACGACUCUGCCCGCCCACAACGAUUAGAGUCAGUAUGCAUGUAUGCCGUAGCGAAGGUGGACAAACGCACGAAUUAUUCCCUAUGAUUACGGAAAUAAUUAUACGUCGGAGGGGAAAGAACUUAUGGGUGUUUGAGUUCAGCGAAUCCAGUCAUCAUUUGAAGUAUCGGAAUGCUACAGUACAUGGUGGUUAUUUGGUCAUGCUUUAUCCGAUGGAAUAAAUAAACGACCCCCUCUCUCUUAGCACUCGAGAACGAUGCCCACUCAUGCCCACUCUUUAAGCGCCUUUCCCCCCUGAAACUGUGGCCGAGGUAUCGCGUGGGGUAUGGCCUGGGCAAGGGCAGGCGCUUAAACGUUCCAACUAAUUGUUAAAAACGAUUCCCUCCUGCUCGGAAUUCCUUUGGAGAUUUCCUUCGGUUGUCGUAAUUAUGUCACAUGAUAAUAAUUAUCCCCGAGACCCACUCUCUUCCCUGAUACCGUAAGUCGUCCCUCUCCCCUCCCGGAGUAGUUAAUUACCUGACUAAUUACAAGCAAUUAGAGUGUUUGUGCACCUCGCUGGAUGUGUGUACUGGAGUCUAAUAAGUAGGUGAGGCAACGAGCUAUAGAAGCGGGCAUUAGAGUUAUUGAUGCGUAAUAGCCGAGAAUUGGCCCCAUUAGGGCAUGGAGCGGCGUCACUGAGGGCAAGGAAUGCAAAAAGAAGGCCUUUUGUGCAGUUGAGUGGAGUCUCCAUGUUGGAACUUGUGGCCAUGAGAGAGACGUAUUCGUUUAUGCAUUCUUAAACGUUUUGUUUCUCUUUUUUUUGAGAAAUAAGUGCUGUUACUUCCACUUUAAGAAUAUUCCUCGCGAAAAAGAGUACAUAUUAAUCCUAAUGGUAGAUUUAGGCUUACUAAUGAACAUCGAAUAAGUUGAAGAAAUGCUUGUUGAAGAAAUCCUGCCUCAUUGCGGUGUCUGCUAGAAGGCACGAGUAAAUGCAUAGUAAUUAGUCUGGAUUCCGUCCUGUGCGACGCGUUGUAACUUGUAAGCGAUAAUCACUUCAAAGUCUAGUCAGUGAACUGCGGAACUUUGACGAAACUGUUAUCCUUGGGUGCUCCUGUAUGUAUAUUAAUAAAGGAUGAUUAGAAUA
rnacentral:lncRNA from 1 species